rnacentral:tRNA from 1 species
ACUUAAAUAAUAUAAAAAUAAUUAUAUUUAAUUUCCAAUUAAAAAAUCUAAAACCUAGUUUAAGUA